rnacentral:misc_RNA from 1 species
GAUGAAGAACGUAGCGAAAUGCGAUACUUGGUGUGAAUUGCAGAAUCCCGUGAACCAUCGAGUCUUUGAACGCAAGUUGCGCCCGAAGCCAUUAGGCCGAGGGCACGCCUGCCUGGGCGUCACACGUCGUUGCCCCCCCAUCUACUCCUUCGGGAUUGCGGGGGGCGGAUGAUGGCCUCCCGUGCGCCUCGUCGCGCGGUUGGCAUAAAUGCCAAGUCCUCGGCGACGCACGCCACGACAAUCGGUGGUUGCGAAACCUCGGUUGCCCGUCGUGUGCGGUCGUCGCGCAUCGAGGGCUCGAAAAAAUUGCCGGGCUAUGUUUCGGCUUUCAACGCGACCCCAGGUCAGGCGGGGUUACCCGCUGAAUUUAAGCAUAUCAAUAAGCGGAGGA